rnacentral:rRNA from 1 species
GACGAACGCUGGCGGCGUGCUUAACACAUGCAAGUCGAACGGAAAGGCCCUGCUUUUGUUGGGUGCUCGAGUGGCGAACGGGUGAGUAACACGUGAGUAACCUGCCCUUGACUUUGGGAUAACUUCACGAAACUGGGGCUAAUACCGGAUAGGAGCUCCUGCUGCAUGGUGGGGGUUGGAAAGUUUCGGCGGUUGGGGAUGGACUCGCGGCUUAUCAGCUUGUUUGUGGGGUAGUGGCUUACCAAGGCUUUGACGGGUAGCCGGCCUGAGAGGGUGACCGGGCACAUUGCGACUGAGAUACGCCCCAGACGCCUACGGGACGCAGCAGUCGGGAACAUUGCACAGUGGGCCGAAGCGUGAUGCGGCAGCGCCGCGUGCGGGAUGACGGCCUACGGGUUAUAAACCGCUUUCGCCUGUGACGAAGCGUGAGUGACGGUAAUGGGUAAAGAAGCACCGGCUAACUACGUG